rnacentral:lncRNA from 1 species
AAGAUCUCUCUUAAAUUUAUCUUCAUAAUUUUUAAUAACUUUAUCUUAUUAUAAUUUUCAAGAUAAAGAUAAAUAAAUAGAGAGGAAAACUUAAUCUUCGAUUUAUGAGAUUUUCUCUUUGCAUAUAAAAAUUCAAACACUAAAUGUUUAUUUGGAAGAAAAAAUAAAAUAAUUUAUGAGACUACAUCUUUUAGAAACCGUAAAAUGC